UAACUUUAGGGGUGCUAUGAAAGAUAGCCUUUAUUUGGACACUUGGGCUAUGUGGAGCUAGUAGUGUAACCGACCCUCUUAUUU
rnacentral:ncRNA from 2 species